AUUGAACGCUGGCGGCAUGCCUAACACAUGCAAGUCGAACGAGAGGCGGACGUGUUAGUUAGGUCUGGGCAACUGCCCGAGGGAUAGGGGUACCUACUGGAAACGGUAGCUAAUACCGCACACCACCGGCAGUGCCCAGAUGGGAUUAGCUAGUGGGUGGGGUAACGGCUAACCUGGGCGCCGAGCCCUAGCUGGUCUGAGAGGAUGACCAGACACACUGGAACUGAGACACGGCCCAGACUCCUACGGGAGGCAGCAGUGGGGAAUAUGGCACAAUGGGAGAAAGCCUGAUGCAGCCAUGCCGCGUGUAUGAAGAAGGCCUUCGGGUUGUAAAGUACUGUCAGCGAGGAGGCGUUACUCGCAGAAGAAGCACCGGCUAACUCCGUGCCAGCAGCCGCGGUAAUAC
rnacentral:rRNA from 1 species